rnacentral:lncRNA from 10 species
AAAGGAAUCAGAAGUCCUUGGAGAAAUGUCUGUUUCAAGAGUUGGAGUAAAGAGAACACCAGAUAUGCCUGAACAUGCUGAGCCAGAAAGCAAGGAUGCACUCAUGCACUCAAAGAAAGAUGGGGUGUGCCAAGUGGACACAGAAGCCAGAUUGAUGGAGGGCUGACAUUUCUAAUCUGAGAAAUGUGAGCAUCAAAAUCAAUGAUGAUAGUAACAAAUUAUCUACAACUCAUUGAAUAAAAUGAGAAUCCAGGAGUCCAACUGAUAUAAAUAAAUGAAUAAAAUGAAUGUUUGACGAGGAACAGGAUAUUUAAAUAUUUUCAAAGUAUCUCCUCAUAAAAUACUUGUUAGUUACAAAGAGAAGAGAAACUUCACAGUGAAGAAGGCUGACAGGCACUGCCUUAAUCAAGUGAUCAAAGUGAACCUCAUCAGAGAUGGGACACACCAAAACAAUGUUUCAUGGGAUAAUAAGAUGCAAAAGGAACAACACAGCUUCAGUUCUGUGAUAUUCCUUCCAAAACUGCACGACCUGAAUCUCAUCACAAGGAAGCAUCAAACAAAUCCAAGUUGAAGGACAGUCUACAAAGUAACUGACCUGUAAUCAUCAAAAGUGCCAAGGUCAUGAAAGUCAGAGAUUAAGAAACUAUUCCAGAAUGAAAAAGACUAAAGAAACUUAGGAAAUAAAUGCACCACAUGAUUGCAAGAAAAGGAUCCUUUUGCUACAAAGGAUGUUAUUGGAACAACUGGCUUAACAGUGUUAAAUUUCCUAAUUUUACUGAUUGGACCAUGGUUAUCUAAGAGUGUCCUUGUUUGUAGGAAAUGCACACUGAAGUGUUCAGGAGUGAUGGGCAUCAGGUUGGUAACUGACUCUCAAAUGGCCCAGGAGGAAAAAAGUAGUUUCUUAUGCUCUACCCUGACAUCUUCAGUAACUUUCAAAAUCAGAAAAAGAAAAAAUAAAAAUACAAAUACAAAGAAUAACUUGCCUCAUCAGCUAUUUUUCCCUGAAUAGAGUUCAUAUAGAAAAAAACAGAAUAAAUUCUUGAUUCUGAACCUUCAUUAAUUUCCAGAGUAAUGAGUUGGUACCAUAGAAAUUUAGAAUGACAGUUUUCUAACGUAUCAUAAUGAGCUCAGAUAUUUUUAUGUUUGAUAUGCUUCAGUCAAUUGCAGUGAUUAUUCUUUUUGAUUCUCGUAAUUGUUCCUGUUCCAUUCACCACAACUCUGGCAGUCAAUGGUUUUCUUCCUUCCUGAACAUAACAAAAGGUUCCAGGUUCAUCAUUUACAUUUCCUACACCAAACCUGGAAUCAAUUUUUAGACCUUGAAUUCAGAGGAGAAUUCCUUCCCUUUUAAAUGAACGUAAUUAAUUCCUCUUUAAAAAAAUAGAUGGGCAUGUUGGCUCACACCUGUAGUCUCAGCUACUCUGGGAGGAUUGCUUGAGCCCAGAAGUUCAAGGUCAGCCUGGUAAACAAAGCAAUAGGGAGAAAAAAAUUCAGAACACUGCAUUUUCUCAACUCCCUUGAAAUUUGUUCCUUUUUUUCCCCUCAAAUGUCUGGCUAGUUUUGGACUCCUUCCAAGAGGAAUGGCACACAGAAAAGAGCUUACUCCAAGUCAGACUCUGUGGGCAUGACAACCACCUGCUUCUUAGUGUAAGGAGAAGCUGGUAGAGGAGGACUAAUCUAAUCCUUUUAUUAACUCCCUUGAAUCAGAAAUGACAGACAGUGAUUAAAUUUUGUAACUUUUCUCAUUGCAAGCACUGAGAGACGGAUCAGUGGGUUGACUUGUUUGUUUUAUUUCUUCAGUAAAAAACCUGUACAAGUAGUAAGCAGGUCAAUUUUCAGAAGCCUCUCAUCCUAAAACGAGAGCUGGCCAGUGUUGCAUUGUUCAUCCCAGCCUCCCAGUGAUCAAGUGAGGUCUUCAUUAUUUUGAUGGAAGGAAGGAGAAAACAAAAUCCACUCACUGAUGCUAGAGAGAAUUCAUUCACUCAUUCACGCACCCAUUUAAUUGAGAAUCCACUACGCGCUGUUCUUAGUACUGAGGAUAUGCAGCGAACACAAAGAAUAAACUCCUUCCUCUGUGGAGUUUACUUUCUAAUGGAGGAAAUAGACCAUAGCAAGAUAGAUAAGUAAAUUAUAAAGUGCAGGAAAAACAAAGCAUAAAAGGGCAAUGUAAGAGAGAUACAAUUUUAAAUAAAAGGUUUCGGGGUGGCUCCCACUAAAAAGGCGACAUUUGAACAAACACUUGGAGGAGGUGACAGAGUAAGCCAUGUGGUUUUUUAGAGGCAGAGAGUUCCAGGCAGAGGAAACAGCUUGUGUGAAGAUCUUGACGUGUGAAAGUGCUUUGAAUAUUUGUGAAAUUGUAAGGAAGCUGCUGUGGCUGGAUGGCUCGUGCAAGGUGAAGAGAGAAGGCCAAAGACAGAAUGUGAGGGCUGGGGACACAAAGCACCUAGCGCCUUGUAGGCCAUUUUAAGGACUUGGACUUUUGCUCCAAGUGACAUGGAAAUUUGUCUCUGGUUUUUGAACAGAGGAAUGACUUUACCCAACUUAUUUUUCAAUGAGAUCACUUUGGCUGCUGUGUUGGGUAUAGAAUGAAAGGGAGCAAGACAGACACAAAGACACCAUUAGAAAGCUAUUGUAAUGGUCUAUGGGAGGUGAUGGUUGCUAAGAAAGGGCAAUAGCAGUGAAGGAGGUGAAAAGUUGUCACACUAUCAAUAACUUUUAAAAGUAGAGCCAACAGGAUUUGCUGAAAGACUAGAUACAGGAGCAAAAGGAAGAGAGGAGUCAAGGGUAAUCCUUAGAGUUUUGGCCUGAGCAAUUUGAAGGGCAGAGGUUCCAUCCACUGACAUGGUGAAGAAUGUGAGAAGAGCAGGUUUUGGGGAGGUUGCUCAAGAGCUCAGUUUUGGACAAGGUAGGUUAGAGAUGUCUACCAAACAGCCAAAUGGAGAUGCCAAGUAGGUGAUUGAAUAUACAGUUCUGGAGUUCAGGAGAAUGGUCUAGUCUGGAGACAUAUAUUUGGCCAUUGUUGUAGGCAGAACAAUGUCCUCCCAAAAGAUGUUCAUGGGCCAAUCCUCAGAACCUGUGAAUAUAUUUCCUUACACGGCAACAAAAGGACUUUGCCAAUGUGAUUAAAGGAUGGACCUUGAGAUGGGUGAUUAUCCUGGAUUCUCUGGGCAGGCCCAGUGGAAUCAAAUGGGUCCUUACAAGCAGAUAACUCUUCCUGCUGUGGCCAAAGAAGGCUCCAAGAGAUAAGAUUUUGUGGGCUUUGAAAAUAAAGGAAGGUAGCCACAAGCUCAGAAAUGCAGGAAGCAUCUGGAAGCUGAAAAAGGCAAGGAAACAAAUUCUUCCCUAGAACCUCUAGAAAGGAAGGCAGCCCCACUGACAGGUUGAUUUCAGCCCAGUGAGACCCAUGUCAGACAUCUGACCUAAAAACUGUAAGGUGAAUUCAUGUUGUUUUAAGCUGCUAUAGAAAAUUAAUGCCAACAUCAUCAAUAUAGAGAUGAUAUUUAAAUCCAUAAGAGACAGAAGGGAGACGAUGUCUUGGGACUGAGCCUUGGGGUAUUUGAAUGUUAAGUCGGGGAAAUGAGGACCCAACAGAGAUGACUGAGAAGCAGUGGACACAAGAUAGGAGGCAAACAGGAGAAAAUGGUGCUCUAGAGGUCAAGACAACAAUCUGUGUCACAUGCUGCUACAUGGUUAAGUAAGAUGGGGAUCAAAUUAGGAAACAAGACAGAACAGGGAGAGCAUAUGUGCUCAGGCCAGCUGCUAUAGAGAAGGAAGAAUGUGGACCCUGGUACUUACUACAGGAGAGACAGGCAGGGUGCAGUGGCUCAUACCUAUAAUCCCAGCACUCUGGAAGGCUGAGAUCAUGGGAGGAUCACCUGAGUCCAGGAGUUCAAAACCAGCCUGGGCAACACAGUAAGACCCUCAUCUUUACAAAAAAUACAAAAAUUAGCUGGGAGUGGUGGCACACACCUGUAAUCUCAGCUACUCAUGAGGCUGAGAUGAGAUGAUUGCUUGAGCCUGGAGGUUGAGGCUGCAAUGAGCUGUGAUUGCACCACUGCACACCAGCCUGAGCAAUGGAGGGAGACCUUGUCUCAAAACAAAACUAAACAAAGCAAAAACUUACAGAAGAAACACAUGAAUGGCACCCACUCAGAGUGCAGACUUUUUCAUACAGAGGGACUCUGGUCACUAGGAAACUUGGCCCAACUAGAAUACUGGAAUAUUUCCAAUCAUAUUGGCACUCCUUCCCUUUGGGGAGGGAGGGUAUGAAAGUCAGCAGUACAGAGGAAAGAAGAGGAAAGAGGAACAGAAUGAAAUUUCAACUUUCUUUUACAUUAUUGCCUUUCCUUUUACCACCCAACAUAGUCUUAGCCCUCCAAGGCCAUUACUUGUUAAAUAGCACAUUCCCUAACCCCAGGGCAGUUAAAAUAAUAGCUCAAGACCAGAAUAUCGUUUUCUCUUAAAGAAAAUAUGACCAGCCGGGCACGGUGGCUCACGCCUAUAAUCCCAGCACUUUGGGAGGCCGAGGCGGGUGAAUCACGAGGUCAGGAGUUCAAGACCAGCCUGGCCAAGAUGGCGAAACCCUGUCUCUACUAAAAAUACAAAAAUUAGCCCAGCAUGGUGGCAGGCUCCUGUAAUCCCAGCUACUGGGGAGGCUGAGGCAGAGAAUUGCUUGAACCCGGGAGGUGGAGGUUGCAGUGAGCCGAGAUUGUGCCACUGCACUCCAGCCUGGGCGACAGAGCAAGAUUCUGUUAAAAAAAAAAAAAGAAAAAGAAAAAAGGAAAAGAAAAUAUGACCUCAUCAAAAUUAAAAUACACAACCUUCCAGUACCUGGCAUUUUAUAUCAACCAUAGCUUCAGACAAUGUUUUGUUUUGCCUUCCUUCACCUCAAAACUCAAGAGUUAGCUGAUCAUCUCUAAGAGACUGAUUGAAGUCAGGUGAGGAGAACCCUUGUGACUUCAGACAAAUAUAGCCCUUAUCACACUGUCUCAUACUGAGCUGUAGUUAUUUGUAUACUUGUUCAUCUUCUUCACCAGACUUGAAGUCCUCUGAGAGGGGAGACUGUGCCCUUUCAUCACUGAAUUACAAGAACAAUAAUUCCUGAACUUCCCAUUCAUUGAACUUGUCAUACAAGUCAGACAUGGUGCUAAUUGCUUUCAGGCAUUUAAUUGUCAGGCAACUCUGUGAGAUGGGCAUUAUUUAUUCCAUUUUGCAGGAAGGUUAAGAAAUUUACAUAAUAGUCAUAUUAAAUUGGAGACUGACAGAGCAGUCCAAUGCCCAAAUCUGUGCUGAAUGAUGGCCCCACAAAGAUGUCCACAUCCUCGUUCCUGGAACCCAUGAACGCUACUUAAUAUGGAAAAUUGGACUUUGCAGAUGUGAUUAAAUUAAGGAUUUUUGAGAUGGGAAGUUUAUUCUGGAUUAUCCAACUUGGCUCAAUGUAAUCACAGGGGUCCUCCUGAGAGGGAGGCAGGAAGUCAGGUUGAGUAAGAGGAGAUGCGAAGAGAGAAGCAAAAGUUGAAGGGAUGAUGAAGGAGCCAUGAGCCAAGGAAUGCAGAUGGUCUCAAGAAGCCGCAAAAGACCAGGAAACAGAUUCUUCCCUAGAACCUCCAGAAAGGAACAGAAACAGCCCUGCUAACAUCUUGAUUUUGGAUUUCCGGACUUCAGAACAGUAAGAUAAGAAAUUUGUGUUGUUUUAAGCCACUGAGUUCAUGGGAAUUUGUUACAGCAUCCAUAGGAAACAGACGCAGUGCUCUUUGCCUCUGUCAUUCUGUGAUCCUUACACCCCAGGACCUGAGGCAGUGCCGGAUAUGCAGAGCACUCCAUGAAUGUUUGCUAAGUGAACUGCUGAAGGAGGAGGAGAUUCUCCUCUAAGCCUUCUCCUGCCUGGCACAACCUAAACUCCUGACCAAGAGAAUCCAGCCUACCCCAGAAAGAGGCAGGAAGGAGCAGCCCAGAACUGUGGCAUGAAGACUUUUAAAGGACUAAUCAUUUCUAUGGAUAUAUUUUAAAAGAACAGUGGCAUGAAUGUAACUAUAUCUUGUUCUAUUCAUUUUAAAUAAAGCUGCCCUUCAUUUUGGCUUCCCUUGCCUGGUCAUGAACAUCAUAUUGGCUGAUUUUGUCCAUCUGGACAUCUCCAAAAGACUUUGAAGAGGUUCGACAUUAAAUGGUCCAACAUAAACUCUAAAGUUAUUUUUUCAAUUUUGUCACUCACAAUUCAAUUCAAUGUAGACAGUAUUUAUUUAUCUUCUAUGUGGCAAGCAGCAAAUAUGGAUUUGUUCAUUCAUUCCUUCAUACAAUAUUUAUUUAAUGUAUUUUAUCUGCCAGUAAUGGCAGUAGGCAUAUUGUUCACUGUUCAAAACAGUGAACAGUCCUUUCCUCCACUGGAUUUACAGCCUUGUUACUACCCUUCCCAAGGCAUUUGUCUCUACAUAUUAUGAGCAGGAGAUAAUAAAACGACAAUGAGAACCUGGAUAAAAGGGAAGAAAAGCACAGUGUUCUCCCUCUGAAGUUUGCACAGAAUACACAGUAAAUUGAGUCAGGUUUAAGAAGACACCUGCAAGGCUCUUCCCCCAUCCUGGUCCAGAGUGGGUCUGCAGGACUGAACUGCAUUGAAACUAUGGCAUUUCACCUCUUUCUGUUCUCCUUGACCUGCCAUAUCAUAGAUCAUCUGGUUUGCUGAAUAAUCACUGAACCAAAAAGUUUUCAAAUGAAUUUUGGAGGCACAGCUGCCUAGCCUCUGCCACAAGAAAAAAAUCACCUUACUAGUUUAAAUGGUUGAAUAAUCAUCUUAUUUUUUUUUUUAAGAUAUAGGUUCCUGAUCAUAUCCUUGUCUCUCUUUAAAAGUUUUUAUUUUCUUGGGAGGCCAAGGGAGGAGGAUCACUUGAGGCCAGAAGUUCAAGACCAGCCUGGUCAACAUAUCAAGAUCCCAUAACUACGAAAUGUAAAAAAUUAGCCAGGUAUGGCAGUGAACAUCUGUAGUCCUAGCUACUCAGGAGGCUAAAGCAGGAGGAUCGCAUGAGCCCAGGAGUUCAAUGCUGCAGUGAGCUGUGAUCGUGCCACUGCACUCCAGCCAGGGCGAUAGAGUGAGACUUUGUCUCAAAACAAAAAGUUUUAUUAUGGAAAUUGUCAAACAGAAAACAAUUAAGAUAAUAAAAUAAUGAAUCCCCAAAUACCUAUCACCUAGCUUCAGUGAUUAUCAAAAUUUUGCUGUUCUUGUCUUUACCUACCACCUUUCUCUCUCCCUUCACUUUUCUUUUUGUGUUUGAGUAUUUUAAAAUAAACCUCUAGCUGGACAUGGUGACUCACGCCUGUAAUCCCAAAACUUUGGGAG